rnacentral:tRNA from 1 species
GCUGACGUAGCUCAGCUGGCAGAGCACUUCACUCGUAAUGAAGGGGUCGGGGGUUCGAAUCCCUCCGUCAGCACCA